GACGAACGCUGGCGGCGUGCUUAACACAUGCAAGUCGAACGAUGACGACCGAGCUUGCUCGGUCUGAUUAGUGGCGAACGGGUGAGUAACACGUGAGCAACCUGCCCUUCACUCUGGGAUAACCUCGGGAAAUCUGGGCUAAUACCGGAUAUGAGCUCCUGUUGCAUGGCGGGUGUUGGAAAGUUUUUCGGUGAAGGAUGGGCUCGCGGCUUAUCAGUUUGUUGGUGGGGUAGUGGCUCACCAAGGCUAUGACGGGUAGCCGGCCUGAGGGGGCGACCGGCCACACUGGGACUGAGACACGGCCCAGACUCCUACGGGAGGCAGCAGUGGGGAAUAUUGCACAAUGGGCGAAAGCCUGAUGCAGCGACGCCGCGUGAGGGAUGACGGCCUUCGGGUUGUAAACCGCUUUCAGCAGGGAAGAAGCGAAAGUGACGGUACCGGCAGAAGAAGCGCCGGCUAACUACGUG
rnacentral:rRNA from 1 species